UACGUAGGUGGCAAGCGUUGUCCGGAAUUAUUGGGCGUAAAGCGCGCGCAGGUGGUUCCUUAAGUCUGAUGUGAAAGCCCACGGCUCAACCGUGGAGGGUCAUUGGAAACUGGGGAACUUGAGUGCAGAAGAGGAAAGUGGAAUUCCAAGUGUAGCGGUGAAAUGCGUAGAGAUUUGGAGGAACACCAGUGGCGAAGGCGACCUUCUGGUCUGUAACUGACACUGAGGCGCGAAAGCGUGGGGAGCAAACAGG
rnacentral:rRNA from 1 species